GAUGAACGCUGGCGGCGUGCCUAAUACAUGCAAGUCGAGCGAACGGACGAGAAGCUUGCUUCUCUGAUGUUAGCGGCGGACGGGUGAGUAACACGUGGAUAACCUACCUAUAAGACUGGGAUAACUUCGGGAAACCGGAGCUAAUACCGGAUAAUAUUUUGAACCGCAUGGUUCAAAAGUGAAAGACGGUCUUGCUGUCACUUAUAGAUGGAUCCGCGCUGCAUUAGCUAGUUGGUAAGGUAACGGCUUACCAAGGCAACGAUGCAUAGCCGACCUGAGAGGGUGAUCGGCCACACUGGAACUGAGACACGGUCCAGACUCCUACGGGAGGCAGCAGUAGGGAAUCUUCCGCAAUGGGCGAAAGCCUGACGGAGCAACGCCGCGUGAGUGAUGAAGGUCUUCGGAUCGUAAAACUCUGUUAUUAGGGAAGAACAUAUGUGUAAGUAACUGUGCACAUCUCGACGGUACCUAAUCAGAAAGCCACGGCUAACUACGUGCCAGCAGCCGCGGUAAUACGUAGGUGGCAAGCGUUAUCCGGAAUUAUUGGGCGUAAAGCGCGCGUAGGCGGUUUUUUAAGUCUGAUGUGAAAGCCCACGGCUCAACCGUGGAGGGUCAUUGGAAACUGGAAAACUUGAGUGCAGAAGAGGAAAGUGGAAUUCCAUGUGUAGCGGUGAAAUGCGCAGAGAUAUGGAGGAACACCAGUGGCGAAGGCGACUUUCUGGUCUGUAACUGACGCUGAUGUGCGAAAGCGUGGGGAUCAAACAGGAUUAGAUACCCUGGUAGUCCACGCCGUAAACGAUGAGUGCUAAGUGUUAGGGGGUUUCCGCCCCUUAGUGCUGCAGCUAACGCAUUAAGCACUCCGCCUGGGGAGUACGACCGCAAGGUUGAAACUCAAAGGAAUUGACGGGGACCCGCACAAGCGGUGGAGCAUGUGGUUUAAUUCGAAGCAACGCGAAGAACCUUACCAAAUCUUGACAUCCUUUGACAACUCUAGAGAUAGAGCCUUCCCCUUCGGGGGACAAAGUGACAGGUGGUGCAUGGUUGUCGUCAGCUCGUGUCGUGAGAUGUUGGGUUAAGUCCCGCAACGAGCGCAACCCUUAAGCUUAGUUGCCAUCAUUAAGUUGGGCACUCUAAGUUGACUGCCGGUGACAAACCGGAGGAAGGUGGGGAUGACGUCAAAUCAUCAUGCCCCUUAUGAUUUGGGCUACACACGUGCUACAAUGGACAAUACAAAGGGCAGCGAAACCGCGAGGUCAAGCAAAUCCCAUAAAGUUGUUCUCAGUUCGGAUUGUAGUCUGCAACUCGACUACAUGAAGCUGGAAUCGCUAGUAAUCGUAGAUCAGCAUGCUACGGUGAAUACGUUCCCGGGUCU
rnacentral:rRNA from 1 species